UACGUAGGGGGCAAGCGUUAUCCGGAAUCAUUGGGCGUAAAGCGCGUGUAGGCGGUUCUGUAAGUCCGCUCUGAAAGCCCAGGGCUCAACCCUGGGAGGCGGGUGGAUACUACAGAACUGGAGUACGGAAGAGGAGAUUGGAAUUCCUGGUGUAGCGGUGAAAUGCGCAGAUAUCAGGAGGAACACCGAUGGCGAAGGCAGGUCUCUGGGCUGUAACUGACGCUGAGGAGCGAAAGCAUGGGGAGCGAACAGG
rnacentral:rRNA from 1 species